AUUUAUGAUGCUAACUGCAAAUUCUAACCUGUUAGGCAUUGCAAAUAAGAGAUAAAAGCUGUGCCCACUAGAGGGAGCCACAGGAUAAGAAAUCUUUCAAGCCUGAUGUUUUUCUGUUGAUCAAGUUUAAACACGCACACAAAUGAACUGGUGUGGCUGUAACAAUUAUGGUAACACUGAGCCAAAAGACUCAAAAAAGAGGUUGAAAUCAGAUCUGCUUCUGCCUGGCCCAGAUUGAUUGAUGUAAACCGGGUUAACCCAUGCUACCAGUAAAGAGAAAAAAAGUUAAGAAAAAGAAAGAAAAUUAUAGAAGGAAAAGAGAUUCAUCCAAUCACUGAUCGAGCUGCAGUGAGAGACACCCCUAAGAGCCAAUAGUAGCGGCGCAUUCAUAAGUCCCGCCCACUGGUCGCGCCGGCGCUGCUUUCAGCGUGAGCAGAUGAGAGAGAGAGAGAGUCAGAGCAGAUCAGCACAGAGCAGACAGUUUCUCCAGAAAAUCCACUCAUCUAACUGGAGAUGUGAUUGAGUGCACUGAAAGCGGAGCUUUUGAAGUCGAUGCGUCAGCCUGAAGAGAGAGACGGAGCGGAUCCCAGAGUGCAUCAGCGCUGAGCCAGUCUGUGUGGGAGUGCUUUCUUCUGCAGUCAUCUGGGUCUUUCCUCCACUGCGUGAGGCGGUGUUGAACCUGUGAAGCUGGCCCGCCACCCAACGCGAAACGUCGGCAAAAUAGUCUCAAUCGUUUGUGCUGCUUUGGUUUUUAGAUAUUAAAAGAAUAUUUAUCCAUGGGUUUCAAAGACGUCACUUCCGCAAUUCCCGCCGCCAUCUUUGUGUCGGAGAUGGCAACUAACAGCGCUUCGUUGAUCUGAUGAUCAUCUUUAGCUUCAGCGCGAGCGCUCAGCAACACAAAACAUUAUCUACGAUUGUGGCUGUCAUAUUAAUAACAUUUUAAUUGUAUAUGCUAUUGUAUUAAAAUGUUGUGAAUUCUAGUGUUUCGGCGUGUUAUACAGGAAGAACACAUCCACAACAGGAGCUAUUCUGACUACGUCACUAGUUCAGGUUCAUGCGUGCAUGAUUUUGUGCAAAUAUAAGUGUAAUGUUAUGUUUAUGUUGUAUAAAUAUAUGAAUUACCCUGUAUAGGAUGUGUUCUGUUGAGUUAACUGACCUUCUAUCAGAGCGCUUCAGUUUACGGGUGUUCAUUCAGCGCGCGUAACGUUAGCUCAAACAGUAAUGUUAUCAAAAUGAGAUGAUUUGAGGAAAAAAUCUGUUAUUGUUCGUGAUCCUUAUUAAUCAAACCAUGUGUUUAUGAAAAUAAUACGAGAACAAUAUAAGUGCUAGUUAUUAAAAAAUAAUGCAUUCUUUUUUUUGAAAAAAUAUGAAAGUUUUACAGUAGUAAACAUUUUCAGUGACUUAAUCAUUGCUGUUUUGAGCUGCGCUCGCUGAAGCUGAAGAGAACCAAAACCCAUAAACUGAAGGUUAAUUAACUCAACGGAACACGUCCUAUAUAAAUGAUAUUUAUACAGAAUAAAAAUUGUUUAUAAAAAUUACUAGUAUUUGCACAAAAUCCCGCACAGAUGAACUUGAGUAACGUAGUCAAUAAUGCUCCUGUUGUGGAUGCAUUCUUCCUGUAACUGCGAAACACAGCAAAUAGGCCCAAAGAAUUCACAACGUUAUAUUACAUGUAUAUACGCUUAUAAUAUCAUGUAUAAGAAGACAGUCCCGAUCAUAUUAAUGUAUUGCCUUACUUUUUGAGCGCUCGCACUGAAGCUAUAGAUCAGGGGUCUCCAAACUCAGUCCUGGAGGGCCACUGUCCUGCAGAGUUUAGCUCCAACCCCAAAUAAACACAACUGAAACAGCUAAUUAAGGUCUAAUUAAAGGGUUAGUUCACCCAAAAACGAAAAUUCUGUCAUUAAUUACUCACCCUCAUGUCGUUCCACACCCGUAAGACCUUCAUUCAUG